rnacentral:rRNA from 1 species
AACGAACGCUGGCGGCAUGCCUAACACAUGCAAGUCGAACGAGACCUUCUUGUCUGGUGGCUCAUGGGUGCGUAACGCGUGGGAAGCUGCCCUUAGGGUCGGAAUAACUCCCCGAAAGGGGUACUAAGACAGGAUAAUUUCUUCCAACCAACGAUGUAUCGUCUUUGGAUUGGCCCGCGUUUGAUUAGCUAGUUGGUAGGGUAAAAGCCUACCAAGGCGAAGAUCCAUAGCUGGGCUGAGAGGAUGACCAGCCACACUGGGAGUGGGACACGGCCGAGACUCUUAGGGAAGGAAGCAGUGGGGAAUAUGGGACGACGGGCGAGAGAAUGAUGCAGCCAGGCCGGGAGAGUCAUGAAGGAGUUAGGGAUGAAAAGCACUGUUACACGUGCAGAUAAUGACGGUACCGAGAGAAUAAGCCACGGCUAACUACGUG